rnacentral:rRNA from 1 species
CGGGGAGGCAGUGACAAGAAAUAACAACUCUAGGAUUUCUUAGAAGUGUAAUGAGGAUAAUUUACAAACCUUACCGAAUGCAAUUGGAGGGCAAGUCUGGUGCCAGCAGCCGCGGUAAUUCCAGCUCCAAUAGCGUAUAUUAAAGUUGUUGCAGUUAAAAAGCUCGUAGUUGAAGUUCUGAUUGCUCAGGUUUCCAGCCUUAGGCGGAGAUACUGACAGUCAUCCGCUUGCAAAACAUAUGUUCGAUCUUCACCGGUUGGCUAUGUGAGUAAGCACUUUACCUUGAGAAAAACAGAGUGUUCCAGGCAGGUUUGUCCGGGAUGCAUUAGCAUGGAAUAAUAGAACAUGACUGAAGUCGAUUUAUUGGUUUAAGGCUUUAGUAAUGAUUAAUAGGAACAGUCGGGGGCAUUCGUACUCAGCAGUCAGAGGUGAAAUUCUAAGAUUUGCUGAAGACGAACUAAAUGCGAAAAGCAUUUGCCAAAGGAUGUUUUCAUUAAUC